GGCAGUAACGCGUAGGAAUCUGUCUUUGGAGUGGGGGACAACCCAGGGAAACUUGGGCUAAUACCGCAUAACCCCUGAGGGGGAAAGCGGGGGAUCUUCUGGAGCUCGCGCUGGAAGAGGAGCCUACGUCUGAUUAGCUAGUUGGUAGGGUAAAGGCUCUACCAAGGCGACGAUAGGUAGCUGGUCUGAGAGGACGACCAGCCACACUGGGACUGAGACACGGCCCAGACUCCUACGGGAGGCAGCAGUUGGGGAAUUUUUCGCAAUGGGGGCAACCCUGACGAAGCAAUGCCGCGUGAAUCCUUCGGGUUGUAAAGUUUCUUUCGUGGAGGACGAAAAGGUGGGUGCUAAUACCGCCUGCUGUUGACGUGAAUCCAAGAAGAAGCACUUUCGGCUAACUCCGUGCCAGCAGCCGCGGUAAUACGGGGGGUGCAAGCGUUAAUCGGAAUCUUACUAAAAAUGCGUAGGCGGUGCAUUAGGUCUGUCGUGAAAUCCCCGGGCUCAACCUGGGAAUGGCGGUGGAAACCGGUGUACUAGAGUAUGGGAGAGGGUGGUGGAAUUCCAGGUGUAGCGGUGAAAUGCGUAGAGAUCUGGAGGAACACCAGUGGCGAAGGCGGCCACCUGGCCCAAUACUGACGCUGAGGCACGAAAGCGUGGGGAGCUAAACAGGAUUAGAUACCCUGGUAGUCCACGCCCUAAACGAUGAAUACUAGAUGUUUGGGGCCAAGCGAAUACUUGAGUGUCGUAGCUAACGCGAUAAGUAUUCCGCCUGGGAAGUACGGCCGCAAGGUUAAAACUCAAAGGAAUUGACGGGGGCCCUGUCUGGAAUCCUGCAGAGAUGCGGGAGUGCCCUUCGGGGAAUCAGAACACAGGGGUGCUGCAUGGCUGUCGUCAGCUCGUGUCGUGAGAUGUUGGGUUAAGUCCCGCAACGAGCGCAACCCUUGUGUUGCCAGCGGUUCGGCCGGGCACUCUAGGGAGACUGCCGGUGACAAACCGGAGGAAGGUGGGGAUGACGUCAAGAAACCUCAUGGCCUUUAUGUCCAGGGCUACACACGUGCUACAAUGGCGCGUACAGAGGGAAGCCAAGCCGCGAGGUGGAGCAGACCCCAGAAAGCGCGUCGUAGUUCGGAUUGCAGUCUGCAACUCGACUGCAUGAAGUCGGAAUCGCUUCGCGGAUCAGCAUGCCGCGGUGAAGACGUUCCCGGGCCUUGUACACACCGCCCGU
rnacentral:rRNA from 1 species